UACGUAGGUGGCGAACGUUAUCCGGAAUUAUUGGGCGUAAAGGGUGCGUAGGUGGCCUGACAAGUUAUCAGUGGCAAAUCGAGGCUCAACCUCGUGGAAACUGGUAAUACUGUUCGGCUUGAGUACAGGAAAGGUUAACGGAACUCUAUGUGGAGCGGUAAAAUGCACAGAUAUAUAGAAGAACAUCAAUAAAGGCGAAGGCAGUUAACUAUUCUGUUACUGACGCUGAGGCACGAAAGCGUGGGGAGCAAAACGG
rnacentral:rRNA from 1 species